rnacentral:rRNA from 1 species
AGAGUUUGAUCCUGGCUCAGGACGAACGCUGGCGGCGUGCCUCAAACAUGCAAGUCGAGCGUGGGUUCAUCCUCUCGCAAGAGAGGGUGAAUUCUAGCGGCGAACGGGUGAGUAACACGUGAGAAACCUGCCCUCCGGACGGGGACAACCUCGGGAAACCGGGGCUAAUACCGGAUACGCUCGCCGGGUCGCAUGGCCUG